rnacentral:rRNA from 1 species
UACGUAGGGACCGAGCGUUGUCCGGAUUCAUUGGGCGUAAAGAGCUCGUAGGCGGCUGCUCAAGUCGAAUGUGAAACCUCGAGGCUUAACCUCGAGCCUGCAUUCGAUACUGGGCGGCUAGAGUCUGGUAGGGGGAUCUGGAAUUCCUGGUGUAGCGGUGGAAUGCGCAGAUAUCGUGAGGAACACCAGAGGCGAAGGCGGCUACCUGGACAAUUGCUGACGCUCAGGCACGAAAGCGUGGGGAGCAAAAGGG